UCUAAAUGAAGGUAUUAGAGAGUGGGCAAACCCAUGUUUGUGCCCAGAUGAAAUGCUGCUGGGCUUAGUGCUGGCAAAACCAGGCUUUUCCUCUUGUGUGUGUCCGCAGCAAGCCCAGUCCUGGAGGGCCCUUGCUCAUCCCUGCAGGAGGCAAAAAACGUCUAACAGGAGGCAGAAUGUCUUUGACCGCUUGCUGCUGGGAGGACAGAGAGAGCAACACCUCCCGCUCCCCCAGCUCUGCUGCCUGCCCGGGUGCCACCUUCACCGGGGGCUUUCCUCCUCUCGGCACCCUCCUUUUCCUCCUCCUUGACCACCCGCCGCACACGGGCUGUGGCUGGGCCCACCGCACGCUGCCUCUGCCCCAUCUCUGCUCCUCGCUCAGUGCAAGUCUCCUGCUGCCGCUCUGCACCUCCGCUCCGCUGGAUGGGCAGGGGGACAGGGGCGAGCACAAAACAAAAGGAAGAAGAAAGACAAAGGGUAGUGAGAAGGUCCGUGGCCCGCGGCUGCCAAAGGAAAUCUCUCGCCGUGUUUCUCUCAACAUAUUUGUCCCAGCCACUACAGCUGCUGUGGGAUCCCCUGCUCCUUGUAGCCUGUGAGGAGGAGGGGAAGGGAACACGGUUAGUCUCAGCUCCUAAAGCCCCUUGGCAGCCCCGGCAAGGCUCUGGCAAGCCUGGUGCACGAGGAGGUGUGUGCUGACCCACGCAGGGGGGUAACCACCUGCCCUGGUAGGAAUGGGGGCACGCUGCCG